CGCUCCGUGAGGCGGUGGCGGCGGCGGCCGGGCCGCGCCCGGGCUUUGAGUCCUCGCUGCGGGGCAGCCAGCCUGUCUUCCUCCCGUCACGACGGCGGUCCCGCAGCGCGGCCUGCCCGCACCUUACGGCCCCGGCCGCCCUCCCGGGGGGAGCCCUCCCGGCCUCUGCGUCCGAGCUGCAGGGCCUCGAGGCGGCCUCCGGUCCGGGAGACCAGUGAUGCAGUCCUUCCUGCUGGCAGCCUGCGCUCAGGAUGCUUCAACAUCCCCAACCAAGCGCCAGUAGCUCUGGAGAAGGAGUCAGGAACUUGACAUUCAGCUGCUCCACACGAUCCACCUUUAUUCACCUACGCCCGCGUGCAGCUGUGGAAGUUGGUUGUUUCGUGGCAGAAGCUUGGAUUAACUGGGUGAUGUGUAGACUUCAUUUCUUCUUCAUCCUUUAGAGUUCUCAAGCUGCUAAUGAGAACUUAAAUUUACCGAGCAGUCCUCAAAUUACCAGCUAGGAAAAGAGUGUGCUGAUGUUCGCUCUUUAGAUGUAAUUUUUCUCCCACCUGUCUUCAGAACCAAGAAUUGCAAGCUCAUCUUUUUAUGCAUGCUGGGAAUGCAAAGAAAAAAAAGACAGAUGAUGUUUCAUCAUACGGCCUGAAAGUACAUACCAAUCUUUCUGAGCUAAAUAGAAUUCUACGUCAAGAGAAAACACAGCACCGUAAAUAAUGCAUAGCACCAAGUCCUGGUGUAUUCUAGUGCUAACAGUUACCUAAUAUAUUUCUUUCUGAAUAUGGCAGUUUUGGUCGGUGCCUUACUGAACGUCUCGUAAUUUCCUUUUAUUUGAGCUUGGGGGUCGCAACACGUGAAGCUGCACCACCACAACCGGCAGGAUUAUUUUUUUAGGGCCCGUUUAGAGCCGAUGGGAAUUUGUACAGUAACUAAAAUGGGCUCUCAAAAGCCUGGGAUAGAAAAUACUCCCAAAAUAAGCUCAUCUGUCCCUCGCUCAUGUCCUUCCUGCACCGUUCAGGCUGGAAGCCGCGCCAUACGCUGUUCGCCUAAGUGCUUCUAAACACACGACCUCGCAGCUUGACGCUCAGAAGUGCUCUGUGUUGCACCCUCAUCGCGGCUCAGACAGAUUCGUGCAUCAACAACAAAGGAGUGCAUUAGUAACUGCCCAACUAUUUGUUAUGCGUGUGUUGCAGAGUACAGGUACGCCGUACAGCCUCCUGCCUUCGGGUCAAGUACAAACAGAGCAUUAGUCAUGCCCCAAACUGCCGUUGCGUAACUCUUCCCUCGCCAGGCUCCCUCCAUGCCAUCAUGGCUGUGGUUCACUGCUCCUCCCAUGUCGCUGGUUCCCUGGCACCUCCGCUUCCUUCCUUAACAUUUUCCCAGUUGUUUUAUUAUUUCCUAAGGCUGCUGUAAGGAUUGUGAUCGAUACGUCUUCCCACUUCUCCCGGGUUUUCCCCUUAAGGAGUCAUCUAUCUGGUGAGUAAUGCCCAUCCUCAAGCGUAGCUUUCAUUCCCCAGGAGCUCUGUUGCCACAGCACACUGCAGCCACACGCCGAUCUUGCAGCUCCAUGACUCAUCUCUUUCUGGAUCCUCUGCAUCCAAGAAGCAGCAUGCUGCGGGACGAUAGUAAAUCUCCUCGUGAAAGCAAGAUUUUAUGGUUGUGCUUAUUCAUCUUUCUCCAAAGCAGAACUCUAUUAUGUAAAUGCCAACAGCAGCAGCGGCACCGAGUAGCAAAGAAGAACGUACUAACUGGCAUGGUAAUCUUUGCUAAUGAACAACAGAGGGCUUCAGAAGCAGAAACGCUUUAAGGAAGAAGCUGGAUUGUAACAGUUUCUUUCCAUACUGCUCUUAAAAAAAAAUAAUAUCAAACCAAAAGCCUUUAAGGGAUUUUAGGAGUAGAAACCUUUAGACAAAUGCAUGCUCACACACCAUCCCACAGAGGGGAACCGAUCCAUUCUGCCGUGGCCAGACUUGCCAGACCUUGCAGGGUUACCUGUCCCCCCCUACACUUCCUGCCAAGGUGGGGUGCAGAGUGUCAGAAAAAAAGAAAGCCCGAGAGGGUGGAUAACAAGUGCUGAGUGUGUACCGGGAGAACAUCACGGAGAAUAUCGCUCUGAAAGAGAUCUUGCUGAGGUCAUAGAGGUGGGUCACAGGCGAGGCUGGUUUGGGAGAAUUUCAUUUCAUGCAUGUAGACUCAUUUUUCAUACUUCCAUAGGCUCACUUAAUUCUGCCAUCCUACCCUCUUAACGCCUCUGUCUUGUUACUAAGAACUCCCUGGUCCCCAGCAUAGCGCCUCUGUGUAUGCACAUUACUCCGAGCAAAAACCCGUGUGGAAAAAAGCCCUCGGAAAAACCGCUUCAUACUUCUGCCAUCGCACCGUUGACUUACCCAAACCACUUUUAACAGUAUGGAAAUGGGAUUAACCUGAUCCACUUUAUCCCUCUGAAAAGCCCUUGACAACUCAAAUACCCAUCGCUUCUACCCAGCUGCUAUUGUAGAAACCUCUUGGCACUUAGCAGUAAGCUGUUUUGUCAGGUUUUUGCCUCUUUCUGAUGCACCAAGGGCUGCACUAGUGCUUGCACUCAGGGCACUUUCCAUGCCUGCACCUCUGUGAAGUGGUCCAUCGCAUCCUCUCACUGUAGCUGAGAGUACAUGCAAGCCAGCAGAGUUUACCCCUCUUUAAUUUGACUAUAAAAUUAAAUUAAUUUCCUCGUAGUCAGCUUGUACCAUGGAGUAAAUGUGUCUUUUAUUUAUCGUUGUACUGUCCCGAUGAGUUAAAUUCUGACUUCUGCUUUAACAUAGCGUGAAAACCUGAUUACAGUUUUUCACAACCUGACAGGAAUGUGCAGUUGCAAAUGAAAAAAAGAAAGUUUAGAGUGAAAUGGUGCAGGUGCGCUGGGUUGUACCUGGAUUGUACCUUUCCUUUCCAGUAAAUGCAGAUGGGAAUGCAUAUGUCUGAAUCCAUUUGGAUGUAAAGACUAUAGCAAGUUAAGCAUUUUCAGCUUUUUUUUUUUUUGAGUAUUUUUCUUGUACAUUUCUGUGUACAUCCUGCUCAUCUUGGGCCUUUCAUACGCAGCCAAAUGGUACACAAGGAUACUAAGUGUUGCAGAAAUAAAAUGCAAGGUUUUGUUUAACUGACACAAAAAUACGUGCUGUUUAGAAGGAACUUAGGAAUUGGUGCCUUCUACUAUGCAGUUGUAAGCAACUACGGAUAUGGAAAAGUCAAGGUUUACUUUAAGAAGAUCUCUAAAUGCAGCAACCUCAAAAUUAAAUUUUGGUAUCAUAUUUAUUGUAAAAAAAAAAAAAAUAUGAGGUGCAAAAUAAUUAGCAAUAAUAACGGUCCUGGGUUUUGUUUGAGUGCAAAUCAACAUCCUGUCUUGUGGGAGAAAUCUCCACAUUUCCACUCCUUCAUCCAAUUUUGUCUCUUGAUAACAGCUGUUAAAUAAUAAUUAAAUAGCUGUUAGAUGUUAUACAAGAUCUGCUCUAGGUGGUUUUGCUAUUUUGAAAAAUUGAGUAUUUCAUUUCCCCGCUGCAUCGUACCAAUCUUUCCUCUAGAUGGUGCCCCGCACCCAAGAGUUGGGUGUAACACUAUCCCAUAUGCAAGGCUAUUGAGAAAUAGUCUGGACGCCACUCUCCUUUGUUUCUAAAUUCUAUUUUAUAGUAGUUCAUCUAAGUUGAUAGCUGACUUGCUCUGCAUGGUGUAAAAAUGGUGUUUCUUCCUCUUGCAAAUCUUAAAAUCUACUCGUUAGAGCUUAACGUGCCAUCUGCCUGGAACAGUGUCAUCUCUUACUCCACGGACCGAUCCAUAUCUCAUAUUUCUUCUGGCAGCCAUUAACUGGUGGUAGCUGUUGAUCGGCCAGACGAAAUGCAAAAUUUCGAAUAUGGAUGAAACGCACGUGAAAAUUGGCAGCGGUGAUCUGCGUACCUGUAUGCUCGCAGCUCUGUAAGCAGAAGGACCAGAGCCAAAUCCUGCAUUUUUUACUUCUGGAAGCGCCCUGGAGCUGUGCAGCCUGGGUACACGGUGUCCAACUGCGACUGGGAUUCUUCACCUCUGUCCCUCGUAGCUGGACAUGCAAAUUUUACUGGAGCUCCCUCAGCUAAGUAUAUAAUUUAAAUAGAAUUAUGUCCCCAUGUAUCCCAGUUUCUCAGGGAAGUUGUGAGUUUAUGUUUUAAUUCUGUUUGUCAGCUUUGCAAAAAUAUGAGCUAUUUUUGUGCAGGGGUGCGCAGGAUUCGCAAGAGUUUUUAAAAGUGCUGCUUUUAUUAAAAUAAAAAGAAGUUUAAAAACAGUUUGAGGUAUUUUAAAUAUUUAUUUAACAUGUGGACAUUGUAAAUAAGCUCAUUAAUACUUUUUAAAUACAGUCUUAUAAAAACCAGAAAUUAAAUAUGAAUUACUGGAUGAGGUGAUGGAUUAGAAAACUGUCUUGUGUAAGUUUGCCCACAGGAGUGUGAGUUUAUAGUGAACUUUCUAAGUCACUAAAGAAACUAAUGCUCUGGUUUGACAAUGAGGAAAACGAAACGGGGCACGUGGGCACGUCACGGGCUCAUGCAGUGCCAUAACAACUCUUGUUUUUAUUUUGUUCUCUGUGUCCUCCCUAAUAAUUCCUUACGGUCCAUUUGCCUUCUGGCUGCCUCUGAGCGCUGUGCGUAGCUCUAGGAAAAUGUCAGCGCGGCGAUGCCAAGAUCUCAGCGAGCGAUAGUAGGUCAGAGCCCAUUCCGAUGUCUUUGUAGGAAUUUGCGUGAUUUUGCAUUCGCCAAAGUUUAGUUUCAUUUGUCAUUCCAGUCCUUAAAUCUCAGGCCUGAUUUACACCAACCAGAGUGAACGAGUCAGAUCAUUUCAUAUUUGAGCGCUUUUCUGGAACUCUCAAAAUUCUGUCCCACACAGGAAUUUCAUUCAGUUUAAAGCCUCUUCUACUCAACUUCAGUUUGAGAUGACUUCUCCAUCUUACUCCUCAUAAAAACAGGCUUUAGUGUGGAAACCUCCAUAAAUUCCUCUGCAGUAAAGAGUGACCCACAUAUUUCAUUUAUUUCUCAUACCUUCACCAUUUAGUGGACAUUCUGCUGUGGCUUCCAGCUUCUUAUCUUUUUCAGAUUUUCAGAAUCUUCUUUUUUUUUUUUUAUUUUUAUUUUUUUGGCCUUAACCUAUUAGGGCUUGAGAUACAGCCCUCUAGAAUGCAUGUUUUCUCUGCCAUCUCCAUUUGGACAUGACUUACAUUCUCAUAAGGUCCCUUCAAGCUUUGCUGAUAGAAGGACUAAUUUAAUUUCAUCUCUGGUGUGUUUUUCAACACCUACAAGUACGUGCCCUUUUGGCUCUUCCCUUUUGUUUCUUUUCCACCCAUAAAAAGAGCUUUUCUUUGGAGUUUGUGACGUCCCCGAGUUCGGUGUGGCUGAGUGCUAGGCUGGUCUCUGAUGGAAAAUGAAGGCAAAGCCAGUAGAUGUGAGGUGAAGAUGGUGAAAGGCAAACAGUGGCCCAAAAGACAGAAUUCCAUCAUCGGCCUUUGUUUUUCCGAGGUGUUUCGUUCUUCUUGCUGGAUUACAAUGAGGUAAGCAUGGAAGGCAACUGCGCAGACUGUAGAGGUGAACAAAAGCAUCUCCUGUUUAUUCAGCACGUUUUGGGACAGUUCACGGGGUCUGAAGGAUCCUGCCAUUUUCCUGGCCAGGAUCCUCUUCUCUCCACGUAUUUUCCGACAUCUCUGUGGACACCUUUCUCUUCUCUUUCCGUGGCAGUCUAGCAGAUCUCAGUCUCUUAAUCUUUUCCUUUCUUUGCUCCUUCCUCACAUUUGGGUGACUUAGUUUGCUACAGGUAACAUCUUUCAGACCUUGACCUUCCAAACCCUUCUUCCCAUCCUGACUUUGUUGCUGCUGCCUGUUGACUCUACCAGCCCCCCAUGCCCUCGUGUUUGUGCUUUUUGUCUUUGCUACCACUCUUUCCAAGAUGCUUGUAGAACAGCCAAGGAACGUUUCCUUGGGAGAUACAGUGCACCCUUAAAUGGGGCAUCGAAAACCCUAUGGAGAGCGAUGCUAAACUCUUGGCACAGGGUUUUAUUCACUGCUGGCUGGAUGCAUUCGAGCAAACAUCAGAGAAAUGGGGGAGCUGAGCACCAGCGGAGGAAUUUAAGCAGAACAGAGGCUUGUGAGAUGCUUCGAUAGUUUUUAAGAGUCUUGUCUUUCUUAUGAACGUGUGAAAAAGCAACUGGCGCUGCAGCACUCUGUCCCCGUUGGGAGAAGAAAGCAACAGGACAAAAACUCUUGCUGGAACUUUCCUCCUGCAGCGCUUCUGUCCCGUCCAUCCUGGGGGAAGCGGCGUGAGCUGCGCUCGGGUUUGGGGGCAGGCAGGAGAACCCAUCCUGCCGCCUCAGCACCGUCCCAGGGGGAUGCAGACAUCCCUCAGCUGGGGACUUCGCUUUGUUCCCCACGGCCCCAUCCGCCCCAAAAAUGAGAUUUUUCGCUGACUGCGAAAGUCUUCUGCUCGUGGUUUAAUACUAAUUUUGGGAAUUUGCACCCAGACUCUGAGCUACCUUACCCGGGCAUCAGUACGGCAGCCCCGAGGUCCCGCCACAUCUGGGGUGACGGAGUUUGUUUUGUUUGACAAUAUGGAUUUAAUGAACGGGCAGCCCGGCACUGGGAACCGUUUCCUUCCAAUAGCUGCAAAAUAAAUGAUGGGACAUUUUCCAGUGCAAUGCUGCAGCAACCCGAAACGCCACUAUAAAAUUCACAGACGCAAACCAGAGUGACUGCAUUAAGCAAGGCUUAGGGGGAUUAUCGAAUUAAAUUGGUUGCCCCUUCCACCCUUCCCCCAGUCAAAGACAUUAGAAAUCUAGAUACAAAAAAGGGUGUUAAAACAACACAAUGGGCUUGGCUAAAACCUAGAAAAGCAAAGAAAGUCGUCGUUAAGGCUGUUGCUUUAUUCUAGACUGCUAUUGUGUUUAGGCACAGCGUCGCAUUUCCGAGGGUUUUCUAUCAGGGAGCGGGAGAGCCGUGGGUAAUCUCGUGAACCACAGAAACUGCCGCGGCUCUGACGCUGCCGGAAUGGCUCUGCUUCGGUAAUUCCCCCCCGGCCAAAGAGAAAUGCAACAUAACGCAGGACCGUUCCCUCCACGCCGCUGCCACCAAAUCGUUCUGCCUGACUUUAGCACUCGUUAUUUACUGCCCGCUCUUCCUGGCUCCGUCCUUUUCCCAGGGACAGCAGCGUCACCAGCAUCCUGCUCGUUUCAGGGAGAGUUUGUGCAAUGAAAGCUUUGCUUUAAUCUCUGCUGGAUUUAUCCAGAUGCAUCAAUCUCUGGAAGGCUUACAUGGGUCUCAGGUCUUUUACGUGCAUGUAGACUCGAUUUGUUGAUCUGGAAAUGGUUUAUUCAAAAUUAAAAAAAAAUAAUAAGAAAAAAAAACCCUUUAAAAUUGCUUUGCUGGAACUGCUUUUGACUGUGCAAUGGAACAAGCAUCCGGGCUCUCUGUCAUGUACAUGGUCUGGCACCCAUGUAAUAGGUUUUUGGCUAAUGUGUGGCAUGCCGUGCCUGCUUUAAUUAAAUGAAUUCUAGAAAAAAAAAACCCAAACAUUUCCAAUUAAAAUAUAUUAAUAAUGAUAUGAUUUGUUUAAAUAUUUAAUAUAUAAAUAUAUAAAAUUAAAUAUUAACUUCCAAUACAUUUACAGAACCCGUUUCACCCAAAUGAGCACAGUGAUAUUUCUUUACCAGGGAAUCCCUUUUCUUUGCAUCUUUCUUAACGUCAUUACAGUCCCUUGUAUUUAAAGUCUUUAUUUCAGUACAGUGCCUUUAGUAAGAAAAUAAAUUCAUUAGGCUUAGGGUGAAGAAACGAGGCACCUGUGUAGGAACAAAUAGGAUUUGCAGAGAUUUUAAGCUCUUUGGGGCAAACAUGGGUUUGUUCUUGCCCGCGUCAGAGCCAGGAGGACGACGGCUGAGUGCAACGGCACCGCAGCCAGACGAGUGUUGUUAAUAAGUGCUAAUUAGUAAAGCCACCGGGUUAUCUUUGACCUUCUCACAGUCUUAUCACAAAGGCUGGGGGGAAAGGAUAAGAAAUGAGCAGAGGAGUAUUUUUUUUCACCUGAGUUUUGCCCUGGCCCCGGCCAUCCUCUCCCCUCUGGCUCUCCGGGGUGCCAGAGCAGCGACGCUUCGGCAUGCGGAUGGGAGCUGAAGUUUCGGGGUAUUUUGCACCCCCAUAGGCAGCCACUCUCGGGGCAGGGGCUUGGGAUGCUGGCUGGUCGUGACAAGUCUAGCCUGGAAGAAAACCAAAACCGCAGUGGUUCAAAACCUGAAUAAUAUUACUAUGGCAACAAAAUAACUCACCUUAAAAAAAAACAUGCAUUGGAAAGCAACCUUACAUGUUCAGGGAACAGAAAAAGAAAGACCUAUAUUUUUUACUAUUUUUUAAUAUUUUGUUUUAGCUUCCCGAACUUUUGAUCUAUUGCCAGACGCUGAUGCAAAUAAAAAAAAAAAUGCAGUUUCAAUGAUGAAAGGAAACUGCACGCAACCUAAUCUCCAGCACUACAAGAAGCUCCCCAAAUGAUGCCACUGGUGAUAUAAACUGGGUUAGUUUAUAACCCCCCCAUGCCUGAACUGCCCGUUAGCUUUACGUUAAGGGGGGAGCAGGGUCCCCCCUCGGCUUGGCUCCGUCGCAGAGCGCGGCUGGGUGCGAGACCCUGCGCGUCCCCCAAGGAACAAAGUAUCGUCUCGGGAUCUUCCAAUAACGCAUACGUGAGCAGGCUUCUGAGGGAGACGGUUAAUGGGCUGAGGUCUUCGCUGUACAAUUAACAGGAACAGCGUGUUGUUCUGGGCUGAAAUAAAGCCGGAAUGAGACCAAACCCACUAAUGGUCUGUGCCGGCCUUUCUACCUUCCUUGUCCUCCCAGCUCGGGGUGGAAGAUCCCCUCGCUCGCUGAUGUGAAUGAUUUUCAAUUAAGAUGAAAUGAAGGAAAUCCCUCUUUUUUUUUUUUAAUAAAUGGGCACAAGAGUGUAUCUGAGCACUUUCUUUGUUGUCUUUCAAGGAAGAACAGAACGUUUCUUUGCAUAUGGGGAACGAUGAUAUCGACUUCCAUCUAGCGAUGAUGGCGAUGGGAAACUGAUACGGUACGAAGGCUCGUCAGCACAGAUCUUUGUAAGGACAGAGAGGGAACAGGGAGGGAUGUGCCAAUGCAACAGCCGUAAUUACUGUAGCAACCCAAACUAUGAGUGUCUGAGCACACUUGGUGACAAACCACGGUUAACGAGAUGAGAGCAGGGGACAGACAUGCGGCACUGCAAGGAACAGCGUUUUCCUGUGUUCAGUGGAUGCACAAACUCCUGGCCGUAGCCGGCAUCAUUACCUCCUUACGGUGUCUUAACUCUGCGGUGGAAGGGGCUUUUUCUGAGGGUGAAGUCGUGACCGUCCCGGCAAGAGAAGCGGCCCCACCAGGGACAACCUAAGGCGGGGGGUCCUGAGGACGUGCAGCUGAUGGAGGCCAAUGUCCUGCUGCCCAGAGCCCAUUCAGCAGCAUGUGUUGUAAUAAAUUCAGCUCAUAUGAUGGGGCAGGCCUUGAUUGUUUUAAAAAUACCAGGUCUACAGUUUGUAUGACAUGGUGGAACUCUUCCAAACCCAAGAGAACUGCACCAGAGUCCCAUCUUGGCAUCUAGUUCCUGGCUUUGUUCCCACGUGUCUCAGUGUUCAACACGUGGUAGCGACGGCUCAUCGUACUUGGGUAGAGCGCGUUGUGCAAAGCCAACUUGCCAAAGUUCGCUGCAAAAGCAGUUUCCAGCCGUGGACUACCACGGAGAGGAUGCUCCUCUGCGGUGGUGAUUGCCAGCCUGGGCUGGUGGCAUUCCCAGAACAGACGUCUUCAUCUGCUGGAGACAUUGGCCCAAACGUUACCCUCCUGAGUCCUGCACAUUGUGCUCCACUGCCACAGCAUCACCGCAGCGUCACCGCAGCAUCACCGCAGCGUCACCGCAGUGUCACCGCAGCGGCCCAUUCCAUGCCCCUCGCGUUCCUUUCCCCUCGGAGGAGCACGUUGCUCCGAUUUCAGUGAAUUUCUCCUUCUUGACCUGUCACCUCUUUAUAAAAAUAUGCUCUCUGUAUUUAUAAGAUGUGACCUAUGUAUUUAUAUAUCAAUAUAUGCUCUUUCUUUACUUUCCUUAUCAGAAUGCUGCAUAAGAUGCUGUCAGGAACCAUUCAAAAGACACGACACAUUCACUGCCUCUCCCUUCCCUGCUAGGCCAACUAUCCUGUCAAAAAAAUAAAUUAGUUUGCUCUGACGGUA